UACAGAGACCUCAAGCGUUAUCCGGAUUUAUUGGGCGUAAAGCGUGUGUAGGCGGUUUGAUUAGUCAGAUGUCAAAGACUGGGGCUCAACCCCAGGAAGGCAUUUGAAACGGUCAAACUAGAGAAUGUGAGAGAUUGCUGGAAUUCAUGGUGUAGUAGUGAAAUGCGUUGAUAUCAUGAGGAACACUCAAGGCGAAGGCAAGCAAUUGGCACAUUUCUGACGCUCAGACACGAAAGCGUGGGGAGCGAAUGGG
rnacentral:rRNA from 1 species